ACCUGGGUGGUUCAGUUGGUUAAGCAUCUGACUUUGGCUCAGGUCAUGAUCUCAUGGUUUGUGGGUUCAAGCCCCUUAUCAGGUU
rnacentral:tRNA from 1 species